GACAGGCACGUCUCUUCCUAAGAAUGGCUGGGAGACUAGAAUGGCAGCUGUCUCAGAGAAAAUGCAAGUCACUGGGGGCAGGAAAAAGAGGAGACACAGGACAGCCGGCUCCCUCCGCUGCCUUUUCACCUUUUCUCUACUUCCUAAACCACCCCCUUGGCUGCCUUGUUGGCAGAUGUGAACUGGAAAAGCCUGCUUGGGGUGCCAUGUGAAGAUCAGCCCCACUGCAUCGGUGAGUCAGUCACAGGCUGUGCAGGGAACUCACUCACGGAGCUGGGUGGCCUGAGGAUGGGCUGUCCUGGCUAGAGAGCCUUGGCACAACCAUGCUCUCCAAUGGAGGACAAAAGAGAGAAAUACCAGGCUUGCGGCUGCUUUGAGUGGUCCCACAGUUGAAAUGCCAGGGAAUAUGAUUGGUGCAAUGAACCAUGUGGAUCGCCUACAGAGUUCCUCUGCGUGGAGGUCCAGUGUGGCUUUAUUUCACAAUCCCAAAAGCAUGAUGAUGUUCCUUUCUGAAAUCUGCUUUGGGGGCUCAGAAUUUUAACCUAAGACCACUUGGGUAUCUUCUGCAUAUUGAAUAAAGAAAUGUGCAGCAAAUUGCUUUUCCUAAUUAAGGUAGAUGAAGACAGAAGCACGCAUACUACUUACCACUGCGGGAUAAAAUUGACUUUCAAAUGAUAUUUAAUGGACCAGCCUGAUGGAGAGAAUUGUUGCUUGCAAAAGUGAAGAAACUUGCCCAAGGCAAGUAGCAGAGCCAGGAUUCAAACUCGGAUCAGAUCCAAAGUGCAAGGUGUAGACCACUACACCUCACCACCUUACUCAGCCCCUGGAAUCCAUGACAGAGCUCUGCUUGUGGUGUCACCAUCUUUCACAUCCGAGAUAAGAUGACUGGGAACAGUAAGCAAAUGAUAGUUGGAGCAAUCCAAAUGCAAAGGCAAGCAGCGACUUCUGUGUAAGGUCAGAGGAGGCAAAAUGAUGCUCUUCAUUUAGCUAGAAUCCUAGUUUACAGCCCUUGACUCUACUGGAAAAUAGAUACUCCAGACUGCAGAGAUUAGCUGAAGAGGAAGGGAAGGCAGUUCGUCUCACUGGAUCUGUCCCACACCUCCUGUAGUUCUAUUAAUACUUAUUCCAUAUAAACCAAGUACAACUGGAUAUCAUCUGGGCUCUCUGUUUUUUGGGGGUCUAGGUCAACCUAAGCCCCCAGCUCUGUAUGCAACAGAAGUUCAAAGCCCUCCCCAGAACUUUGGUGAUCCCUGAGAAUUCCUGCGUCUGCCUGGGUGAUCAGUGGCCUUUGCCUCUCAAGUGUGUAAAUCAGACCCUUCCUCAAGGGCCAUGGAAAGGCCACUCCCAAAAUACAUUCUGGAAUAUACCUGACUUUACUGAAGCGUUCAGAGGGAAACAUAGAAAUGACUGACACUACGUGAUUAAAAAACAACUUUUUGAGUUAGAGUAGGCAUCACUGACUUAAAAGUGCCCUGUGGUUACCUUGCCACUAUGGUUGCACUGGCCUCACCUUGUCGAUUCCUGGCUGAGUCCCUCUUGGCUCCAACUACUUCACCCUCCCUCUAUUAUUUGCUUCCAAACUUAACCAAAAACUGGGCGGAGGCAGGGGAGCUUGUAUUUCAUGCAGGGGUUCCUAAUCUGGUGACAAGAGUUCAGGGGUUUCAUAAACUUGGAUAGAAAAAUGUUACUUUAUUUGCACUAACCUCUAACUAAAACUUAGUGUUUGCUUCUAUUAAUAAUCUAAUCAACAACCUACAGCAGUAUUAUCUGUACCUGAGACCCUUGCCACCAGGAGAAGACACAGAUAUUUUCACCCCAUAAUUGUUGCAGCUGAAUCAAAAUAUUCUCUUUGUUCAUCACCACUUUAAAAUUAUGCUAGUUAUUAGUCUUGCCUGCUAGAUCUUGCUAUUAAUAGAUUAAUUAAGAAGCACAUAUAUCAGUUUCACAUAUUUGAUUCUUAAAAUUCUUUGAUAACAAAGUUUCAAAGUAAUUGGCUUCCUUUGAAAUUCUAUGUAUUUUAUUUUAUGCAUUUAAAAACAUGAUUCUGAGAAGGGGGUCCACAGAUUUUACCAAAUUGCCAAUGGGGUCGACGGCAUAAGAAAAGAGUAAGAAGCCCUGAUUUAAAGUGGUAAAAUUUUUAUAUGAAUUCUAUCACAAUAAAAAAUAGCCCUGAUUUAAUGAGACCUACUGUCCUGAGAAGGCCCUUGUGGCUACCAAGAAUCAUUUUUCCCCCUGUAACUCAAGUUUGAACGUCUCUGCAUAACUCUCUCUCUCUUUUUUUUUUUUCCCCCAGUCUCACUCUGUCACCCAGGCUGGAGUACAGUGGCAUGAUCACAGCUCACUGCAGCCCUGAGCUCCUGGGCUCAAGUGAUCCUCCCACCUCAACCUCUCAAGUAGCUGGUACUACAGGCACAUGCCAUCACAACCAGCUAAUUUUUUGUAUUUUUAGUAGAGAUGGGGUUUCACGAUGUUGGCAGGCUGGUGUCAAACUCCUGAGCUCAAGUGAUGCAUCUGCAUUGGCCUCCAAAAGUGCUGGGAUUACACGCAGGAGCCACUGUGCCUGGCCUCUGCAUAAUUCUUGUGGCCAAACUCUUCAAAAGGAAUCUGAGCCAGAUGCUGUGGCUCCUACCUGUAAUCCCAGCACUCUGGGAGGCCAUGGUGGGAGGAUCACUUGAGGCCAGGAGUUCAAGACUAGCCUGAGCAACAAUAGUGAUACCCCGUCUCUACUUAUUAAAAAAUACAAAAGUUUUUUUUUUUAAGAAUCUUUGCAGUCUCGGUUCACUUGCACAAGGUGGCUUUGUGUGUUUAAGGCUAUUAACAAUACCAGAAAGGUUAGCUGAUGUGGGAAGUUCUGGCAAGAUCCUUGCCUUCUUUGGGCCAGUGGACACUCAAAAAUCUGUCUUUGGGAGUUACUUUCUUAUAGACCAUUUUCUGGAUGCCUCGCUUACUGUAGACAAAAUAUGUUCAUCACAACUAAACUCUGUGUUCACCUACAUUUCAUUGACAGCACAUCCUCUGCCCUUUCACACCACCUUACUCAUUUGAAAACUUCUUUUAAUUUAUCCUCUUUUUGGUAACCAUUGUGUCCUUGUUCAUAACCUAUAAAUCCUCCAGAUCAAAGAUCUAGGCUCAGUUGGAAUAAAAAAAAAAGUUUAAUAAAUUAACAUUUUAAAUAUAAUGAUUUCCGAACAUGCCAUUAGAAAGUGAUUGCUUACCAUCUGUCUUCUGUUGACCAGCAUUAAAGGGUAAACAGCAAUAUCCUAGGCUGGAGAAGUGAUGUUGUGAUUAAGCAUCACUGUGUGAGAGCCCACAGUACCCCUGAGCUCAGCUGAUAUUAUGAAACCCAUCCUCCAAGUACUGAAGGGAGUGAAUGGGAAGGGGGAAAAGGUCAUUUGGAAUAACAGUGUGCUAAGGCUGGAUGCUAAUGUUGUUAUGAAAUCUCAAGAUUCUGUUAUAAUUAUACUCAUUGAACUCACCCACAUUUUCAUGUUCAAAUUAUUUUUGUCAGUUAAAUUACAUACUACUUCAGUUUUCCUGUUUGUUAUUUCAUUUUUCAAUUUUUGCUCAUUUGUUUCAAGUAAAGCACCAUAUGAAAUGUUGGAGACUAUGAAGGUAUUAAGGCAGAAGGUAGCAAUCCUUGUCAAAUACUGUCUUUGGGGGCCUGGGAGUGGAGAAAGCAGUGGUACCCCAGUAGGGAAUAAUAUACAUUUUCCAUUGAGAAAAGGAUACUUACGUGAACAGAAACAAUCAUUUCUAAAGGCCUUCUCCCAGAGGCAGCACCAGAAGAGACCUCAAGAGAUUUCAAUGCGUAACCAUAGCAAGGAAACGUGAUUUGUGGAUACACACGUUAUAAAAGCUACUUCUGUUGAUUUUCUGUAAAUGUCAUGUAAAAUAAAUUGCUCUAUAGCUUGAAGAUUGUUUUGCAAGUAAAAAAAUGUUUAGGAUGGCAUUUUCCUUUAGAGGAAUGAAUUUAUACUGAACUAAAAGCCUUGAACAGUUUUUUUGCUUAUUCUUUUCAUGAAGCAAAUACAAUUGUGCAGGCCACUGUGUAUGCAUACUGGACAUGUCUUGCUGUCCAUGUUGGAACACAAUAAAGAUGAUGAACUGUG
rnacentral:lncRNA from 1 species